ACCAACACACAAGAGCUUCCCCCAACACCAGGGAAGAUGGGACUUGGGCUCCACCUGCUUGUCCUGGCCGCAGCUCUGCAAGGUGCUUGGUCCCAGGGGCAGCUGGUAGAGUCUGGAGGAGACAUGAGGAAACCUGGAGACUCUCUGCGCCUCUCCUGCAAAGCCUCUGGGUUCACCUUCAGUAGCUACUACAUGUACUGGGUCCGCCAGGCUCCUGGGAAGGGGCUGGACUGGGUGGGUGAAAUUAACAGUGGUGGAUCCGGCCAGUGGUACUCCCCAGCUCUUCAGGGGCGAUUCACCAUCUCCAGAGACAACUCCCAGAACAUGCUGUACCUGCAGAUGAGCAGCCUCAAACCCGAGGACACAGCCCUCUAUUACUGUGCCAGACACACAGUGACUCAAACCCUAUUCAUGGCAAUACAAAAUCCCAGCUCAGAUCCUCCCUUCUAAAAUGCCAGGAGGGGGCAGCCACGCUGCACAGCACAGCCCUGCACAGAGGCAGGAGGGGACACAGGGGACAGGGGAGAACAGACCCCAGGCGCUAGACUCCUUUUCACUCCAGGAGCCCUGACAAAAGCCACCCCCAGCCCCAACUCUGCAGA